GAGCUGAGCGACAGCCCAUUGCUGCCUCCCUGCCUCUCUCUCUCCUAUGGGCACUGCAUCUGCCUACAUUAACCAUAAUCCUCUCCGGCUUACGUCACAUACCCGGAUGUGACAGUGACCCUGUUGUAUUCAUCCCCAUAGCCUCUUCCUGUCCCACCUCCCACACUUGGCCUAUAAAAGAUAUGAUCACUUUCGGAAUAAACGGGGGGGGGGGGGGGGGCUUGAUCGGAUUCUCUCGACUUGCUUCCAUCUCUCUUUGUCUCCCCUAUGUCUUUAUUUAAUCCCCGUUCCGCCUCCAGGUACACCCCACAGACUGAUCCGCAGGCUGGAUCAAGUGCCGCUCAGCGUGGGGGCUCCUGGCACAGAGGAGUCAACCAGGGAGCCGUUUAAGAAAGCCGGCUGAAAGUGAAAGCAAAUUGAACCAAAGACCGUGGCGAGGAGUGAGCAAACUAAAUCAAGGAUUAAAGCUAAAAGCAACAGGACAUUAAAUCAAGUACCGAGGCCUGUGCAAACGACUACCCAACAUCCUGCCCGAGUCAUGGUGACAACCCCUGGAGCCUUAUACUGCCUACUCAGCCUUCUCCUUGAGCCGUACCACACCCAUGGUGGAUUUAGACCCCUACCAAACAGACUACAACUGCUGACAGCCAUACACAGAACCACCUGUGACUGCGGAGGAAGCUCUUCUCGGUCUGGAGGAACAUAAACCAGCCAAAAAGACUGCAUCCAGUGUUAUGCGAGGCAAGCUCCAAGACAUAGGAGAAUGACUUCAACAGAGACACCAACAAAUGGCUAUCAACCCCUUCUCCUCGAUUUGUGUGUGUGUGUGGGGGGGGUUCCCUUACCUAGUGCCCCUUUUGGGUCCCCUAGUUGCCCUAUUGCUUCUCCUUUCUGUGAGUCCUUGUAUUUUUCAGAGGAUUAUGACGCUCAUUAAUAACCAGAUAGAUGUGUUUAUGGCAAAGCCCAUUCAGGUACACUAUCAUCAGCUGGAGAUGGCAGAUCAACAAACCUAUCGGGAAGGAAUUCCCAUGAGUGGCCCAUAUGAUGAUGCGGCCUAACUGCCCUGAGGCAAUGGACAGGCAGCAAGAGAUGGGCAACUAGGACAUACAUGUUAAUUCCAACAGCCACCUAAGAGAGGCACAGGACCAACUGCUGUUCUGCAAGCCCAUGACGGGUAAGGCCUGGUUGGGUUCAUGCAAUGAGGUCCUUGACCUAAGAGGUCAAGGCAGGGCCUGCCACACUCCUGAUUAAAUAAUAUAGAAAGGGAGGAGAUGUAGGGAGCCGAGCGACAGCCCAUUGCUGCCUCCCUGCCUCUCUCUCUCCUAUGGGCACUGCAUCUGCCUACAUUAACCAUAAUCCUCUCCUGCUUAUGUCACAUACCCGGAUGUAACGAUGACCCUGUUGUAUUCACUCCUGUAGCCUCUUCCUGUCCCACCUCCCGCCCUUGGCCUAUAAAAGAUGUAAUCACUUCCGGAAUAAACUGGAGGCUUGAUCGGAUUCUCUCAA